GGCCGCGUCGACGAGAGGAUGAUCAGCCACACCGGGACUGAGACACGGCCCGGACUCCUACGGGAGGCAGCAGUGGGGAAUAUUGGACAAUGGGGGCAACCCUGAUCCAGCCAUGCCGCGUGUGUGAAGAAGGCCUUUUGGUUGUAAAGCACUUUAAGCAGUGAAGAAGACUCCAUGGUUAAUACCCAUGGACGAUGACAUUAGCUGCAGAAUAAGCACCGGCUAACUCUGUGCCAGCAGCCGCGGUAAUACAGAGGGUGCAAGCGUUAAUCGGAAUUACUGGGCGUAAAGCGAGCGUAGGUGGCUUGAUAAGUCAGAUGUGAAAUCCCCGGGCUUAACCUGGGAACUGCAUCUGAUACUGUUAGGCUAGAAUAGGUGAGAGGAAGGUAGAAUUCCAGGUGUAGCGGUGAAAUGCGUAGAGAUCUGGAGGAACAUCGGUGGUCGACGCGGCCG
rnacentral:rRNA from 1 species